rnacentral:rRNA from 1 species
CGACCGGCGCACGGGUGAGUAACACGUAUCCAACCUGCCCUUUACUCGGGGAUAGCCUUUCGAAAGAAAGAUUAAUACCCGAUAGCAUAAUGAUUCCGCAUGGUUUCAUUAUUAAAGGAUUCCGGUAAAGGAUGGGGAUGCGUUCCAUUAGGUUGUUGGUGAGGUAACGGCUCACCAAGCCUUCGAUGGAUAGGGGUUCUGAGAGGAAGGUCCCACACAUUGGAACUGAGACACGGUCCAAACUCCUACGGGAGGCAGCAGUGAGGAAUAUUGGUCAAUGGGCGUUAGCCUGAACCAGCCAAGUAGCGUGAAGGAUGAAGGCUCUAUGGGUCGUAAACUUCUUUUAUAUAAGAAUAAAGUGCAGUAUGUAUACUGUUUUGUAUGUAUUAUAUGAAUAAGGAUCGGCUAACUCCGUGCCAGCAGCCGCGGUAAUACGGAGGAUCCGAGCGUUAUCCGGAUUUAUUGGGUUUAAAGGGAGCGUAGGUGGACUGGUAAGUCAGUUGUGAAAGUUUGCGGCUCAACCGUAAAAUUGCAGUUGAUACUGUCAGUCUUGAGUACAGUAGAGGUGGGCGGAAUUCGUGGUGUAGCGGUGAAAUGCUUAGAUAUCACGAAGAACUCCGAUUGCGAAGGCAGCUCACUGGACUGCAACUGACACUGAUGCUCGAAAGUGUGGGUAUCAAACAGGAUUAGAUACCCUGGUAGUCCACACAGUAAACGAUGAAUACUCGCUGUUUGCGAUAUACAGUAA